rnacentral:rRNA from 1 species
AACGAACGCUGGCGGCAGGCCUAACACAUACAAGUCGAGCGAGGUAGCAAUACCUAGCGGCGGACGGGUGAGUAACGCGUGGGAACGUGCCCCUUGGUACGGAAUAGCCCCGGGAAACUGGGAGUAAUACCGUAUGAGCUCUACGGAGGAAAGAUUUAUCGCCAAGGGAUCGGCCCGCGUUGGAUUAGGUAGUUGGUGGGGUAAUGGCCUACCAAGCCGACGAUCCAUAGCUGGUUGAGAGGAUGAUCAGCCACACUGGGACUGAGACACGGCCCAGACUCCUACGGGAGGCAGCAGGUGGGGAAUAUUGGGCAAUGGAGGAAACUCUGACCCAGCGACGCCGCGUGCGGGAUGGAAGGCC